rnacentral:rRNA from 1 species
AAUCAACGCUGGCGGCGUGCCUAACACAUGCAAGUCGAGCGAGAAAAGGGGGGCAACUCCCUGAGUACAGCGGCGCACGGGUGAGUAACACGUGGGUAAUCUGCCCUGGAGUGGGGAGUAACACCGGGAAACCGGAGCUAAUACCGCAUACGAUAACGAGGUCUGCGGACUUUGUUAUGAAAGGAGCAAUUCGCUCCAGGAGGAGCCCGCGGCUGAUUAGCUAGUUGGUGGGGUAAUGGCUCACCAAGGCUACGAUCAGUAUCCGGUCUGAGAGGACGGUCGGACACACUGGAACUGAGACACGGUCCAGACUCCUACGGGAGGCAGCAGUGGGGAAUUUUUGGCAAUGGGGGAAACCCUGACCAAGCAACGCCGCGUGGGUGAUGAAGUCUCUUGGGACGUAAAACCCUUUCGACGGGGAAGAAACCGCAAGGUUGACGGUACCCGUAGAAGAAGCCCCGGCUAACUCCGUGCCAGCAGCCGCCGUAAGAC